CUUGACCGCGCAGCGCGAUGAGGGGACCCGAGUGCCUGCACCUUAUGGUGGCUGUCCUCUUUGUUAAAAAGCUUGUGUUAGCAAGGGCCGGGCAAGACCGGUGCCAGCCGCCGCGGUAACACCGGCGGCCCGAGUGGUGAUCUUUUUUAUUGGGUCUAAAGGGUCCGUAGCCGGUUUGAUCAGUUCUUCGGGAAAUCUGGCAGCUCAACUGUUAGGCUUCCGGGGGAUACUGUCAGACUUGGGACCGGGAGAGGUAAGAGGUACUCCGGGGGUAGGAGUGAAAUCUUGUAUUCCCUGGGGACCCCCCUGGGGGAAAGGGUUCUUACCAAAACGGGCUCAAGGGGGAGGAACAAACGCUGGGGGCAAAACCCGAUUUAAAUCCCCGGGUAGCCCCGGCCGAAAACCAUGUUCCUUGGGUGUCGGGGGCGGCGCGACCCUGUUUGGGGCCGAAAGAAAUCCUUAAACCGACUCCCUUGGAAAUUCCGUCCGCAAGUUUAAAAUUUAAGGAAUUGGGGGGGGAACCACAUAAAAAAAA
rnacentral:rRNA from 1 species